rnacentral:rRNA from 1 species
CCCUUAGAUGUUCUGGGCCGCACGCACGCUACACUGAUGAACGCAACGAGACCACCUGUACCGAAAGGCAUGGGUAAACUUGUGAAAGUUCAUCGUGAUGGGGAUAGAUUAUUGCAAUUAUUAAUCUUCAACGAGGAAUUCCUAGUAAGCGCGAGUCAUCAGCUCGCGUUGAUUACGUCCCUGCCCUUUGUACACACCGCCCGUCGCUCCUACCGAUUGAAUGGUCCGGUGAAAUCUUCGGAUUGCUGGAUAGGACUUCAUUGACCUAUCUGCGAGAAGUUGCUUGAACCUUAUCAUUUAGAGGAAGGAGAAGUCGUAACA